rnacentral:lncRNA from 1 species
CGUCAGCCACCGCGCCCGGCCUAUAAUUUUUUUUUUUAACUCCUUCACUGUUGUUGGCAGAAUUUAGUUUCUUCCUGUUACAAGGAUUGAGGUCGCCAUUUCCUUGCUGGUAGUCACCUGAGGACUGUUCCCAGAUUCUAGAGACUGCCUGCAUACCUUGGCUUAUCACCUUCCACUGCCUGCAUACCUUGGCUUAUGCCCUUUCUCCUGCAUCUUCCAAGCCAGCAAUGGUAGGGAAGAGGUAACCAUCCAUCACGGUUUUCCCAGAACAGGCUGAUUUGCGUCUUCUGUCCUGGCAUAAGGAUCCCUUCACUCUCGGAAGUGUUCCGGUGGCACUACAGAUGCAGGCAUGGGCAGAAACACGUGAAAGAUUUGUGCCUACCUACUUAUGAUGGGAUUCUUCUGCCUCCUGCUGCACUUUGCCUGGGGUAGCCAGACUACAGGAAGACAAAUGCUGAAAGGAAUAAUA